AUUGCCUAUAACAGCAUGAAAUUACAGCCAGAACUGAUCAGCCUGGCAGCAGAUAAGGGAAGCUGUCAAGUGUGGCAGCAUGUUAUUACACAGGGGAUUGGAAGGAGGGGGCCGGAAGCCCUGUGCACUGUGGCUCUGGGGUACACUGGUGGGUGUGCUGGUGCUCCAGGGGCUAUGGGGUCUCUCCUGGUGGUGGUGGGGAUGGGCAAUGUGUGAGCUCACAAAGCACAAAGGAUUAUUGCCCUAGGAACACCUGUACCUCGCAGCUGAUUUGGCCUUUAUUUGGUUCUCACAGGGUCUGUCCCAGGUUUGCAGGGAUGGAUGCCAGCACUGCUCCUGUCCUCUCCACCCCUACGUGUUGAAAGGAGGACUCUGUGGCUCCAGUUGGCUGCUGGAUCGAGGACUGCAUUAGCAUUGACCUCAGGAGAGCCCACGCAACAAAUAAUGGCUUUAAAUAAUGGCUUUCUUCCCCGGGAGCAGACUUCAGAGAGGAGUUUCCUGCUGCUGUGUUCCUGCCCACCCUCUGAUGCUGCAGGGGCCCCCUGAUGCCAGGACGUCACUCUGGAAGGGUUCCUAUUGUGGAAACUUUUCUCACCAGCUGCUUUGUGAUGUGCCGCACAAGCACAAGGCCCUUUUUGCUGUAAUUAAGCUCUGGCUGUUCUUUCAGGGCUGCAAUUCAAAGAAAUACAUCACUUUCAAGUCAGACGAGCAGCUUGACAGCAAGUCAGGGAGAAACAGCGCUGCUCCGUGAGAGCCGUGGCCGUGCUGGGUUGCACUCUGCUCUGCCACGAGGCAGCUUGUCCUCACACAGCCCCAGAACUCCCCUUUGCUGCAGGGCACAUCCCCACACCCAUCUGAUGGUCACCUGCAGGGGAUGGGACAUGUUUAACUGGCAGAGAGGCUCUGUGCAAGGCAGCGAUUCAGUAUUAACUCGGUGCAUCCAAUAGGUGUGAAGCACUGGGUGAGAUGGCAGCAGCGAGGACAUGGAAAGUGCCCCCAUGCUGUCUCUCCU
rnacentral:lncRNA from 1 species